UUCAUACGAUGGUGGUAUUGAGCUCUAUAUUUACAUCCAUUAUAUGCAAUGGUGUUGUGCCUUCCAGGACCCCCUUGACAAUGAGAAUACAUUCAAUGUCAAUUGAUUGCUAAGGGUAUCUGGUGUCUAACCUCGUUUGUUGUAUCACUUUUAUAGAUGUUCCAGUAUCAAAGGCAUGUGCUCAGGAUUGCACACCAUCCACUACUGUGAAGUGCUGCGGUACAUCUCAGUGUAACGUGGACCUCUUGAAAUGCUACACCUGCACUGACUUGACAGAUGAAUCUAAUUGUAAAGAUAUAACAGUCUGUGGGUACGGUGACAAGUUCUGUAAAACCACUUACAAACUAACUGGAACUGGUGUCACCGUCAGCAAGGGAUGUGCAUCAACUUGUUCUGUAACAACAGCUUUCCCGCGAGAUGAGUGCUGUCAGGGAGAACUGUGUAACGGUAAUACAG